GAUGAAGAACGCAGCGAAAUGCGAUACGUAAUGUGAAUUGCAGAAUUCAGUGAAUCAUCGAAUCUUUGAACGCAUAUUGCGCUCUCUGGUAUCCCGGAGAGCAUUCUUGUUUGAGUAUCAGUAAACACCUCAACUUCCAUAUCUUUUUUGAAAUGGGAGUUGGACUUGAGUGAUCCCAACGCUUUUCCUCACCGAAAAGUGGCGGGUUACUUGAAAUGCAGGUGCAGCUGGACUUUUCUCUGAGCUAUAAGCAUAUCUAUUUAGUCUGCCUAAAAAACAGAUUAUUACCUUUGCUGCAGCUAACAUAAAGGAGAUUAGUUCUUGUGCUGACUGAUGCAGGAUUCACAAAGACAGGCUUCGGCCGACUUUGUAAACUCGAUCUCAAAUCAAGUAAGACUACCCGCUGAACUUAAGCAUAUCAAUAAGCGGAGGA
rnacentral:misc_RNA from 1 species